GGAGCUGUAGGAGAAACACAAAUUAACUCAGAGACAGACUGAUGCGACAAAACCAACAUGCCUGAUAAGGACAUGAGGAGGAAACAGUAGGAGCUGUGUGAGGCUACUAAAGGCAGUGGAUCCCUCAGCAGCUGGAUUACAAAGAGCACAGUCUCAGAUCAACACAGCCCUGCCCUCCAGCACCAUCAGCAGCAGGAGCAGCAGAAACCCCUCAACAGCAACAUUGUACCCAUCAGGUAAA